AAUCCUCCCACACCCCGUCUUUCCAGUUUCCACCUCCCACAGAAAUCCCAAUCUGCGCCGCCACCAAAGCCUAUCCCCCGCGGCAGUUCUCGGCCCGGCUCUGCCCUCCGGCGCCAACUCCACCCUCGGCCGGCGACUUCCCAUUCUCCUAUGUCGGCAUCCUCGCUGGUCGGAGCCCCGCCAGCCGUCGGCGUACUCCCCGUUGCCACGUCGCGCCCCUCCCAACUCUCAUCGCCACAGCGUCCCGCAAGAUGGGAUCCGCCAUGUCAAGAAGAACUGAUCCUGAUGCAUCAGAUCUCAUGAAGUAAAUCUCGAUGGUGGGGGAGAAGGAGCGAAUACAUUAAUCAGGUGCAGGUUCGAAUGACUGGCCAUUAAGUAGACUACUUUUACUCUCUGUGGGAGAGUUCCAGUUUAAGUUGCAAUUCCAACAUGAUUUGUACGUUCAUUGUUUGAUGAUGUAUAGUUUUAGCUUCCAGAAACUAGCAUCACUUUCGCCUAGUACUUACGAAGCAAAAAUGACAUAUCUAUGUGGGUUUUUACUUUAUAGGUUCUGGCUUCACAUGACUUCGUGAGACUGACAAGGCAUAUUUUUUGGUCCACCACUAAUGGCUAGUGCGAUUAUUUUCAUGGAUUUUUGCUUACUUUAGCUCGGUAGAUGCUCAGUAUUUGUCUUACUUGUACCAUUUUGGGAAGUGUUUAUUGCAUCUUAAUUAGGCAUGAGUAAGAUCAGAACAAGCCAAGUUAUGUACAAUUUGAAAAAGAUCCAAACUAGAUAUAGUUUUCCGCUCAGUUUGAUCCAGUACACCUGGAAAGGCAAAUUGUGGUUCGCCAACCUAUCUGAUAUAGCCUUGAAACAUUCUGAUUUUACACAAGUCAGCUAGGGCAUAGGGAAAUGCAUGUUAGUAUCUGACAAUGGAGGAUGCGACUCACUGUUGAGUCAACAAAUUGACCAGAUCAACGCCCUGUUACACACAGCUGCCCUAUACCUAACCCCUGAAAGAAACAAAAAAAAGUUGUAUCCCUCUCCCCAGAUACGGCGCAUCCAUGGCUCCUGACGGGGAUAACUUCCGACAUUGAUACUUCCAUGACAUCUGGGUGAUGCCGCUCGCUACCAACCAAAGUCCCCCUGCCCCCAUCGGAAGAUGCAGCCGAUACCACUACCUUGCAGCCAUAGAUUGAUUCCUUCCUGCGCUGGCAGGCUAGAUGUUGAAGGAGGUAGCGGAGGUGCAGCCGUGUGUCCAUCCUCUCCUAUGGAAGGCACCUGAUUAUAAUAUUGUCAAAUCGACGUGGGCUAUAACCAAACAUCACUGUGAUUCUUUUCUUUCAGCAAACAGCCACAGAUGAUCUUUUGCAAGUGAAAAGAAUACAUAUUUAUAAGGAGCAAUCAAUGUGGGACCAAUACAAGGAUUUAGAGGACAAAACUAAUUAUAUGGACAGAUUAUAACAGGUUUUAUAUCGGAAAUAAUCUUGAAACGUGCAAGGGAAUCUUCACAUUUUUCUAGAAGUCAUUUCCAUAAAAGCUGCGAAAGCCGUCAAGCUGAUGUACCAAACUAGCUAUAGAAUUUUUAGAUAGAUUUCCACUGAGAAUUUCCAUUUUUUUCUCAAAUUGGUUUCAACUUUUAGAUAGUUAGAAUUAGAAUUAGAAGUUUAUUUUCUAGUGACAUACACAUUAUUGUAUGAACGUGCAGUUCACUGGUAAAGUAUCAAUACCCUUUGUAAUAAAAAUAGUUGUAAUGGCUUGCACAUUGCUACUUGUUUUGCUGUGUUGAUUAUGAGAAACCUUUUCAGUUAA